rnacentral:rRNA from 1 species
GAUGAACGCUAGCGGCAGGCUUAACACAUGCAAGUCGAGGGGUAUAGUUCUUCGGAACUAGAGACCGGCGCACGGGUGCGUAACGCGUAUGCAAUCUACCUUUUACAGGGGGAUAGCCCAGAGAAAUUUGGAUUAAUACCCCAUAGUAUGUUAGAGUGGCAUCAUUUUAACAUCAAAGUUCCAACGGUAAAAGAUGAGCAUGCGUCCCAUUGGCUAGAUGGUAAGGUAACGGCUUACCAUGGCGACGAUGGGUAGGGGUCCUGAGAGGGAGAUCCCCCACACUGGUACUGAGACACGGACCAGACUCCUACGGGAGGCAGCAGUGAGGAAUAUUGGACAAUGGGCGCAAGCCUGAUCCAGCCAUGCCGCGUGCAGGAAGACGGUCCUAUGGAUUGUAAACUGCUUUUGUACAGGAAGAAACACUCCCUCGUGAGGGAGCUUGACGGUACUGUAAGAAUAAGGAUCGGCUAACUCCGUGCCAGCCGCCGCCGUAACAC